CCUACGUGAGGCUGCAGUGGGGAAUAUUGCACAAUGGGGGAAACCCUGAUGCAGCGACGCCGCGUGAGUGAAGAAGUAUUUCUGUAUGUAAAGCUCUAUCAGCAGGGGAGACAAUGACGGUACCUGAUUAAGAAGCCCCGUCUAACUACGUGCCAGCCGCCGCGGUAAUACGUAGGGGGCAAGCGUUAUCCGGAGUUACUGGGUGUAAAGGGGGCGUAGACGGCAGCACAAGUCUGGAGUGAAAUGCCGGGGCGUAACCCCGGACCUGCUUUGGAAACUGUGCAGCUAGAGUGCAGGAGAGGUAAGUGGAAUGCGUAGUGUAGCGGUGAAAUGCGUAGAUAUUAGGAGGAACACCAGUGGCGAAGGCGGCUUACUGGACUGUAACUGACGUUGAGGCUCGAAAGCGUGGGGAGCAAACAGGAUUAGAUACCCGAGUAGUC
rnacentral:rRNA from 1 species